rnacentral:rRNA from 1 species
UACGUAGGGACCGAGCGUUGUUCGGAAUUACUGGGCGUAAAGCGUAUGCAGGCGGACCGUUAAGUCGGAGGUGAAAUCCCAGGGCUCAACCCUGGAACUGCCUUCGAUACUGGCGGCCUUCGAGUCCGGGAGAGGUGAGUGGAACUCCGAGUGUAGAGGUGAAAUUCGUAGAUAUUCGGAAGAACACCAGUGGCGAAGGCGGCUCACUGGCCCGGUACUGACGCUGAGAUACGAAAGCGUGGGGAGCAAACAGG